UCCUUCGGGAUGAUUCCUUAGUGACUUAGCGGCGGACGGGUGAGUAACGCGUGGGCAACCUGCCUUGUACAGGGGGAUAACAGUUAGAAAUGACUGCUAAUACCGCAUAAGCGCACAGCAUGGCAUCAUGCAGUGUGAAAAACUCCGGUGGUACAAGAUGGGCCCGCGUUGGAUUAGCUAGUUGGUGGGGUAACGGCCCACCAAGGCGACGAUCCAUAGCCGGACUGAGAGGUCGAACGGCCACAUUGGGACUGAGACACGGCCCAGACUCCUACGGGAGGCAGCAGUGGGGAAUAUUGCACAAUGGAGGAAACUCUGAUGCAGCGACGCCGCGUGAGUGAUGAAGUAUUUCGGUAUGUAAAGCUCUAUCAGCAGGGAAGAAGACGACGGUACCUGACUAAGAAGCCCCGGCUAACUACGUGCCAGCAGCCGCGGUAAUACGUAGGGGGCAAGCGUUAUCCGGAUUUACUGGGUGUAAAGGGAGCGUAGACGGCGAUGCAAGUCUGAAGUGAAAACCUGGGGCUCAACCCCAGGAUUGCUUUGGAAACUGUAUUGCUAGAGUACCGGAGGGGUAAGCGGAAUUCCUAGUGUAGCGGUGAAAUGCGUAGAUAUUAGGAGGAACACCGGUGGCGAAGGCGGCUUACUGGACGGCAACUGACGUUGA
rnacentral:rRNA from 1 species